AACGAACGCUGGCGGCAUGCCUAACACAUGCAAGUCGAACGAGACCUUCGGGUCUAGUGGCGCACGGGUGCGUAACGCGUGGGAAUCUGCCCUUGGGUUCGGAAUAACAGUUGGAAACGACUGCUAAUACCGGAUGAUGACGUAAGUCCAAAGAUUUAUCGCCCAAGGAUGAGCCCGCGUAGGAUUAGCUAAUUGGUGAGGUAAAGGCUCACCAAGGCGACGAUCCUUAGCUGGUCUGAGAGGAUGAUCAGCCACACUGGGACUGAGACACGGCCCAGACUCCUACGGGAGGCAGCAGUGGGGAAUAUUGGACAAUGGGCGAAAGCCUGAUCCAGCAAUGCCGCGUGAGUGAUGAAGGCCUUAGGGUUGUAAAGCUCUUUUACCCGGGAUGAUAAUGACAGUACCGGGAGAAUAAGCUCCGGCUAACUCCGUG
rnacentral:rRNA from 1 species